UACGUAGGGUGCAAGCGUUGUCCGGAUUUACUGGGCGUAGAGCGCACGUAGGCGGAUCUUUAAGUCAGAGGUGAAAUCCCAAGGCUCAACCUUGGAACUGCCUUUGAUACUGGGGAUCUUGAGUCCGGGAGAGGUGAGUGGAACUGCGAGUGUAGAGGUGAAAUUCGUAGAUAUUCGCAAGAACACCAGUGGCGAAGGCGGCUCACUGGCCCGGUACUGACGCUGAGGUGCGAAAGCGUGGGGAGCGAACAGG
rnacentral:rRNA from 1 species